rnacentral:rRNA from 1 species
GACGUAGGGCGCGAGCGUUGUCCGGAUUUAUUGGGCGUAAAGAGCUCGUAGGCGGCUUGUCGCGUCGACUGUGAAAACCCGCGGCUCAACUGCGGCCUGCAGCCGAUACGGGCAGGCUAGAGUUCGGUAGGGGAGACUGGAAUUCCUGGUGUAGCGGUGAAAUGCGCAGAUAUCAGGAGGAACACCGGUGGCGAAGGCGGGUCUCUGGGCCGAUACUGACGCUGAGGAGCGAAAGCGUGGGGAGCGAACAGG